GCUGUGAUGGCCGAGUGGUUAAGGCGUUGGACUUGAAAUCCAAUGGGGUUUCCACUCGUAGGUUCUAACCCUACUCACAGCG
rnacentral:tRNA from 1 species